AUGAAAUAGGGUUCCAAACUCCUCUUUAAUCAACAUCUCUCUCUUUUGAAUAUUUAUAAAUGCUGGCAUCCAUCCCCAAUUGAUGCAGUUAGACACUUCUAUCAAGUUAAGGGCUAUGUUUCACUUCUUGAAGUUGUUUUAGUCUUGCUUCUUUCAAUGACACAUUUUAUUUUGGCUAUGUUUUCUGUCAGAUUUCAUCAGUUGCUCAUCCAAAUGGAUAAAUUAAAUUCAAGAACUUUCCUGCUCAAAUUUACUUUAUAUGCUAUGGCUCCUAUUGCCCAGACAUUGUUCUGUUUAAUCCUAAAAGUUGUUUUUUAUCCUGACGUCUCUCAAGCAUAUAUAUUCUUCGGGCAAUAGAUAAUCAGAUUUCUCUAACUUGCAUCUUUCUGUGCUAAUUUGCUUCUACUUUCUGAAGUUUUAUCUCAUAAUAUUCAUUCAUCAAUUCCUUAGUCGCUGCUGUCCAAUAAAUAACAACAUGGAACUACUUUUUCCUCAAGGCCCUUUCCCCAUGAGUUUUCUGGACAUGAUGAUUGUGAUCUACACUAUAGAAGUGCUAGCUCAUUUUUCAAAAUAUUAAGUAUGGUUCCAGUGACAUUCAUCUCAA